AGUAUAAAAAGGUCGACUAGUUCGUUUGAAAUAAUCACAAGUUCUUUAGCAAUUCGAACACACCACUAUUUGUCUUCGAGGGCAGCAGCAGCCAAACCAAUAAUAGCAGCAAUGGCCACAAGAAUGUCUCCCGUUUUCCUUUUUCUGGUCAUUUCGCUCUUCGUUCUUAUAAACUUCACUGAUUUUGCUUAUUCAAAAGACUGCACUCGUGGCUAUCGGGUGAACAGUGGUGAUACUUGUUGGUCUACUGCCCAAAAAUGUGGCAUCUCCCUGCAAACGCUUUUUUACCACAACGGACUUAUAAACAACUGCGACAAUCUUCAGCCGGGUCAUUUUCUUUGCUGCACCCAAGCCGAUGAUGUCCUGACUC